GUAAAUGCAAGUUUUAAAUGCUUCCACCCCACUUGCAGCCUAAUAAACCAAUCACCAGUCACUACAAGAGCUAAACUUAGCAAAAAACUGCUGGUAGAAGUAAUAAUCCCAAAAUUAUACCAUGUAUAAGAUAACAACGGCAGGUGCCAAGGUAGCGUAAAGAUCUAAACCCAUUACCCACCCACCUUAAAUUUGGACACCACCAUCCAAAACUAAGGAAAGGGGAGAUCUUUGCCUUAUUGUUGUGAUUUUCCAUUGGAGAGAGACAGAAAGAGAGGGAGGUUUAAGAACUGAGUCAUCUUUUUGCAUUGUGGAGGUGGCAAUCAAAGGCUGAACCUUUCAUGGAAAUGGGCAGUGCUCAAUUUUGCUACUGUUCCAACAGAAAUAGACACCUAAUCAUUCCCUUCCUGUUUCUCUUGCUUUUAAGCUCCAUCCUUCUGAGUUUUGUAGCUGAAGGACGAACAACCACCAAGCUACUAGACGCUGCACAGAGAGAAGGAGAAGAUGAGAAGGCGCUGGUGAUGAGAACUCAGGUAAUUGGGUCAACACCACCCAGGUGUGAGAGAAGGUGCAGCUCUUGCGGGCACUGCGAGGCAGUGCAAGUCCCCGUAACAACACAAGUCCAUAGCCACAGCAGAAGUCAUUUAUCUGCUGCUGCGAUUUCCAAUAUCGCAUACUCUAGAGGUGAUGAUGUCUCCAAUUACAAGCCCAUGAGCUGGAAGUGCAAGUGUGACAACCUGAUCUUCAAUCCUUGAUUGAAAGGAAAAGAUUUGUAUUC
rnacentral:misc_RNA from 1 species